UCUCUCUCUCUCUCUUGAUUUUGAUUUUGCCCAAAUCCUUCUUGCUGGUUUAUUUUGCUCACAAGUCACAAGGAAUUGGUGCAAUAUAUGUAUGGUUCUCAAGGUUUCUAAUCAAGCUUUAACUACUGCUUCUUGUAAAUGGGUUUGAGUUCAACACAAGGGUUUUCAUUUUAAAAACAAAAUUGGGACUUGGGAACUCUGAUGGUGUGUAUAUUUGUGUGACAUUUAUAUAUACGGCAAAGUUAUUGAAUUAUAGGAGAAAUAUUUCAUUUUGAAAAAAAAAAAAAAAAAAUCAGAUUGAGAUUAUGUUGGAUAGAUGAAGCUAUUUUUCCAGACAGGCCAGCCCCAUCACCAUGAAUUGGUCCCUUCCUUCAAAAUCUGUCUCUGCGUGUGUUUAUUUGGCUUCUCUUAAUUCACUGGUCAUCCUCAUCAUCUCCAGAUAUGAAUUGAUGGUUUUUGUUGAUUAUGCCUGCUUGGUUUGAAUGAAGUCUAUUCCAUAUUAUAAACAGCGGUUCCUCAUUGUUCUCUCAAGUCCCAGCCAGAUGAAGCAUAAGCUUCAGUUGCUCUGAAUUUUGCUAAUUUUUUUAUUGUGUUAAAGCUAUUGAAGCUGCAUGUUUGAGAC